rnacentral:tRNA from 1 species
GCCGGGGUAGCUCAGUGGUAGAUGCGCUUCUCUGAAAAAGAAGAGGUCGAGGGUUCGAUUCCCUCUCCCGGCACCC